UUUUGAAGAGUUUGAUCCUGGCUCAGAACGAACGCUGGCGGCGGGGUUUAGGCAUGCAAGUCGCACGAGAAAGGAGCAAUCCGAGUACAGUGGCGUAAGGGUGAGUAAUGGUUCGUCAACGUACCGAGCAGACGUGAAUAAUUUCCCGAAAGGGAUUGUAAUGCACGAUGAGACCACGGGGUGUACGCACUCUGGGGUCAAAGGUCGGGGAUCCUUCGGGACCCGGCGCUGUUUGAGCGGACGAACUCUGAUUAGCUAGUUGGCGGGGUAACGGCCCACCAAGGCUUUGAUCAGUAGCCGGGCUGAGAGGCUGUCCGGCCACACGGGCACUGAGAUACUGGCCCGACUCCUACGGGAGGCUGCAGUCGCGAAUUUUUCACAAUGGGCGCAAGCCUGAUGAAGCCACGCCGCGUGCGGGAUGAAGGCCCUCUGGGUUGUAAACCGCUGUCGAGGGAGGGGAACCGCUGGAUGUGAAUAGUAUCCAGUCUGACUGCUCUCUGAAGGAAGCCCCGGCAAAACAUGUGCCAGCAGCCGCGGUAAUACAUGUGGGGCAAGCGUUGUUCGGAAUUACUGGGCAUAAAGGGUGCGUAGGUGGUUUGUUAAGUCAGGGGUGAAAUCCCGCGGCCCAACCGUGGAACUGCCUUUGAUACUGGCGAACUUGAGUGCGUGAGGGGUAGGGGGAACGAGCAGUGUAGCGGUGAAAUGCGUAGAUAUUGCUCGGAAGGCCAGAGCCGAAGGGGCCCUACUGGUGCGCAACUGACACUGAGGCACGAAAGCGUGGGGAGCAAACAGGAUUAGAUACCCUGGUAGUCCACGCCGUAAACUAUGAACACUAGAUGGGUGUCGAGCUAUCGAUGCCUGUCGGAGACAAUUUGGUAAGUGUUCCGCCUGGGGAGUAUGGUCGCAAGGCUGAAACUCAAAGGAAUUGACGGGGGCUCACACAAGCGGUGGAGGAUGUGGUUUAAUUCGAAGCAACGCGCAGAACCUUACCAGGUCUUGACAUACCGGGAUUAUUCGUGUGAAAGCAUGAAAAUUCUCAGCAAUGAGGUAACCGGAACAGGUGCUGCAUGGCUGUCGUCAGCUCGUGCCGUGAGGUGUUAGGUUAAGUCCUUUAACGAGCGAAACCCCUACGAUUAGUUACCAGCGCGUCAUGGCGGGGACUCUAGUCGGACUGCCGCGCAAGCAGGAGGAAGGUGGGGACGACGUCAAGUCAUCAUGGCCUUUAUGACCUGGGCCACACACGUCCUACAAUGGGUACUACAAAGGGCCGCAAGCCUGCAAAGGCAAGCCAAUCCCCGAAAGGUACCCUCAGUUCAGAUUGUGGGCUGCAAUUCGCCCACAUGAAGCUGGAAUCGCUAGUAAUCGCGGAUCAGCUACGCCGCGGUGAAUUUGUUCCUGAGCCUUGUACACACCGCCCGUCAAGCCACCCGAAUUGGCCGCACCCGUAGUCGUAGUUCCAACCGCAAGGAGGGACGCGCCGAAGGUGAUGCCGGUAAGGGGGACUAAGUCGUAACAAGGUAGCCGUAUCGGAAGGUGCGGCUGGAUCACCUCCUUUCUAGGGA
rnacentral:rRNA from 1 species